CUAUCAUUCUGAGGAGCAGAUUUAGUAAAGCCUGUCCUAGGACAUGGUUGUGGGCCCUAUCUCUCCGGCAAUAUAUUUAAUAAAGGACCGACAGUCUGUGUAUGUUUAUAAACAUAAAAGUCCCAGAAGAAAAACAAACAUGGAUCUCAUAAUUGAAAAUGAAGUCAAUUAAGACAGCUCAAGCAGGUACUCAUCCAGAGUUCCAUCUUAGACAAAUAGAAUUAAAUGCAUAUGCAAAUAUUCAUUAAAUGCCACAAUAUUUUUUAUCUUCUAACCUUUUAAAAUGUAUCAGAUCACUGUUUUAAGGGUGGGGCUCUUUGGAAGAAGCCAGUAAAGGUGAGAUCGUUGUAAGCCCGCACCAAAAAGACAUCUUGAUUAGAGAUGUUAGCGUUGGUCUAAAACAUGAAAAUAUUAGUUGAUGGUGAAAUAAAAUGCAUAGGAUAUUAUUUGGAGUUUGGUGUAAUAACAGAAUGUAAGGAUGAAUAGAAACAACUGCAACCCUCCAGUCCUCACUCCCUCCAGACACCUCCACUCAGUCUCCCUCUGCCCUCCCCAAGCACUCUCUUCUCCUUCUCUUUUCUUUUCUUUCUUUCUUUCUGACUCCUCUCUUACCUGCCACAUCUGUGCUUGCUGUAGACUGUGGAUCCCCCUCAUCUUGGCAGAGCAGGAGCUCAAUAGGGCAUCGUGGAGGUGUGAGUAGGAUGGGGGAGGAUCUCUCCUCUGCCUCCGUGGAGAACACAGUGUGUGACAUCACCGCAGCUAUCCGGUAGAUACCCAGUAGUGGGACUGCUUGAUGGAAUGGUAGUUCUAUUUUUAACAUGUCCUGCUGUUUCAUCUUAAUGUGCUCUGACUGAUGAAUGUUCAGCUAUAUUGACUGUAUCCUGUUUAAUCAAAGGGAUUUGUAUUAUCAUCUAAGGUCAUUUGUCUCUUCCUUUAAGGAACUUAAAAUCUAAUUGAAGAGGCAAAACUAAGGUAAAACAUUUGAGAAAGCAGGGAGUACUUGGAAAGCACCAGGGGAUAGGGUAAAAUGAAAGACAUGUCUCAGCCUUUCUGAAGUGCAAGUUCCGGCACAGGGGUUGAUAAUCCACAGUUCACAGACACUCAGCAUGUCUACAAGCCCUCUGAAUGUGCAUGCAUUUGUGUUUCUGUGAGCAGUGCAUUUUCUGCCGAUAGCCAAACAAAAAAAUAGGUAUUUGUAAUAGAACAUGAUACAGUUAUGUGGACAUUCAAAGCAAAAUUGACAAAAAUAUAGGCCUGUGUGUCUUGUUUCCAGAGCGUCUCUUGAACAUCUUCCAAAUACUUAAUUCUAGUGUCAGUGUCGUUAACUGUGAUGAAGAAAAAACAAUUAUCCUGGACAAUGUCAAUGGCUCACGUGGUGUCCAAGUUUAAGAACGUUUAGCACCAAAGGAAAAUUAUUUCAAACAGAGUUGGGUGUUUGAGUUAAAAAAAAAAAAAAGUCCCAAGUAACCCACUGAAAGAUGUUUAAGCACCUGUAACCAUCAACACUUAUUGAAGUGAUGAUAAUUUUAACCUCAGAAACUUCUUCUACAGCUGUAGAAACAUAUUCUUCUUUUGAAUUAAUUUAGGUAAAAUUGCAAAAAAUAUUUAGUGAUUUGAAAGAUAAGCAAAUUUGUCUUUGCUUUCCUUUUGUCUUUGUCCAAAGACAGGAGAGGAAGAGAAGGGAAAAGGCGGAAUUAACUACAUAAUUCAUCAUCAUAUAUUUAUUUGUUGACCUGGAAGAAAGCCCAUUUGAAUUUCAUUUUAAAGGAUUAUAUUUAACGUUUAGAAAUGUGAAACAGAUUAAAAGUCCAUAUGCUGUUUUUAUAA
rnacentral:lncRNA from 10 species